UCAGGUAUACAUGUGGAUCAGGUCUACAUGAGGAUCAGGUCUAUAAUCAGGUCUAUAAUCAGGUCUACAUGUGGAUCAGGUCUAUAAUCAGGUCUUUAAUCAGGUCUACAUGUGGAUCAGGUCAACAUGUAGGAUCAGGUCAACAUGUAGGAUCAGGUCAACAUGUAGGAUCAGGUCUAUAAUCAGGUCUAUAAUCAGGUCUUUAAUCAGGUCUUUAAUCAGGUCUUUAAUCAGGUCUAUAAUCAGGUCUUUAAUCAGGUCUAUAAUCAGGUCUUUAAUCAGGUCUACAUGUGGAUCAGGUCUAUAAUCAGGUCUUUAAUCAGGUCUACAUGUGGAUCAGGUCAACAUGUAGGAUCAGGUCUAUAAUCAGGUCUAUAAUCAGGUCUAUAAUCAGGUCUAUAAUCAGGUCUUUAAUCAGGUCUACAUGUGGAUCAGGUCAACAUGUAGGAUCAGGUCUAUAAUCAGGUCUAUAAUCAGGUCUAUAAUCAGGUCUAUAAUCAGGUCUUUAAUCAGGUCUACAUGUGGAUCAGGUCAACAUGUAGGAUCAGGUCUAUAAUCAGGUCUUUAAUCAGGUCUUUAUGUGUAUCAGGUCUACAUGAGGAUCAGGUCUAUAAUCAGGUCUAUAAUCAGGUCUACAUGUGGAUCAGGUCUAUAAUCAGGUCUUUAAUCAGGUCUACAUGUGGAUCAGGUCAACAUGUAGGAUCAGGUCUAUAAUCAGGUCUUUAAUCAGGUCUACAUGUGGAUCAGGUCUAUAAUCAGGUCUUUAAUCAGGUCUACAUGUGGAUCAGGUCUAUAAUCAGGUCUUUAAUCAGGUCUACAUGUGGAUCAGGUCAACAUGUAGGAUCAGGUCUAUAAUCAGGUCUAUAAUCAGGUCUAUAAUCAGGUCUUUAAUCAGGUCUAUAAUCAGGUCUUUAAUCAGGUCUACAUGUGGAUCAGGUCAACAUGUAGGAUCAGGUCUAUAAUCAGGUCUAUAAUCAGGUCUAUAAUCAGGUCUUUAAUCAGGUCUUUAAUCAGGUCUUUAAUCAGGUCUACAUGUGGAUCAGGUCUAUAAUCAGGUCUAUAAUCAGGUCUAUAAUCAGGUCUUUAAUCAGGUCUACAUGUGGAUCAGGUCUAUAAUCAGGUCUUUAAUCAGGUCUACAUGUGGAUCAGUGGCUCAGAGAAAGUCUGUUGUCAUGGGAACAGUAUUGUAAAUGUAAAGAGGGAAGCAGUGCUCAGUGCUGCCUCUGGUGUCUGGGAGCUGAA